GGGGGUGUAGCUCAGUGGUAGAGCAUCUGCCUUUUAAGCAGGGAGUCGAUGGUUCGAUCCCAUCCACCCUCA
rnacentral:tRNA from 1 species